rnacentral:rRNA from 1 species
GAUGAACGCUGGCGGCGUGCUUAACACAUGCAAGUCGAACGAUGAAGCCCAGCUUGCUGGGUGGAUUAGUGGCGAACGGGUGAGUAACACGUGAGUAACCUGCCCUUAACUCUGGGAUAAGCCUGGGAAACUGGGUCUAAUACCGGAUAGGAGCGCCUACCGCAUGGUGGGUGUUGGAAAGAUUUAUCGGUUUUGGAUGGACUCGCGGCCUAUCAGCUUGUUGGUGAGGUAAUGGCUCACCAAGGCGACGACGGGUAGCCGGCCUGAGAGGGUGACCGGCCACACUGGGACUGAGACACGGCCCAGACUCCUACGGGAGGCAGCAGUGGGGAAUAUUGCACAAUGGGCGAAAGCCUGAUGCAGCGACGCCGCGUGAGGGAUGACGGCCUUCGGGUUGUAAACCUCUUUCAGUAGGGAAGAAGCGAAAGUGACGGUACCUGCAGAAGAGGCACCGGCUAACUACGUG